GUAAGAGUAGAAACACAAUCGUGGGGUGCUUGGCCUAAGUCAGUUGGAGGCCACCCAGCUGGAAUACAAGACAUUGCUCCUCCACCCUGAGGGUGCCCUCAUUUUGGCACAAGAGGAGGCCAUGGACCACAGCUCAGAAUGGGAAUGGGAAUCGGAGUUAAAGUGUUUAGCCAACGGGAAGUCCUGGAUAGAGCGGCAGUGCUUGACGAAGCGGUCCCACAAUUUGCGACGGUUUUCACCUCUGUCAAGGAGGCUGCAUCGGGAGCAUCGGCCACUAUAGAUGACCCCAGCAGAUCUGCAGCUGAAGUGUUGUGUCACCUGGAUGGAGGGACUGUUUGGGCCCCUGAAGGGAGAUCUGAAAAAGUCCUUGCAACAAAUUCUUCUCAAUCAAAAAAGACUAUGACUUAAAUUAUCCCAAAACUCAACAGCUACACAGCAAGUACACAGAUAUACACUACAGCUUGACAAUACAUUGACAUUGAGUUCGA